CAGUCGCCACGGGAAUACAGAGGAUGCAAGCGUUAUCCGGAAUGAUUGGGCGUAAAGCGUCUGUAGGUGGCUUCUCAAGUCCGCCGUCAAAUCCCAGGGCUCAACCCUGGACAGGCGGUGGAAACUACCAAGCUGGAGUACGGUAGGGGCAGAGGGAAUUUCCGGUGGAGCGGUGAAAUGCGUAGAGAUCUGGAGGAAUACCGGUGGCGAAGGCGGCCCCCUGGACAAAGACUGACGCUCAGGUGCGAAAGCGUGGGGAGCAAACAGGAUUAGAUACCCCCGUAGUCCCUGUCUCUUAUAC
rnacentral:rRNA from 1 species